rnacentral:rRNA from 1 species
UUAAGUGACGAUAGCCUAGGAGAUACACCUGUACCCAUGCCGAACACAGUAGUUAAGCCCUAGAACGCCGGAAGUAGUUGGGGGUUGCCCCCUGU